AAAGAUGAGCAUGCGUCCCAUUAGCUAGUUGGUAAGGUAACGGCUUACCAAGGCAACGAUGGGUAGGGGUCCUGAGAGGGAGAUCCCCCACACUGGUACUGAGACACGGACCAGACUCCUACGGGAGGCAGCAGUGAGGAAUAUUGGUCAAUGGGCGCAAGCCUGAACCAGCCAUGCCGCGUGCAGGAUGACGGUCCUAUGGAUUGUAAACUGCUUUUGCACAGGAAGAAACACUACCUCGUGAGGUAGCUUGACGGUACUGUGAGAAUAAGGAUCGGCUAACUCCGUGCCAGCAGCCGCGGUAAUACGGAGGAUCCAAGCGUUAUCCGGAAUCAUUGGGUUUAAAGGGUCCGUAGGCGGCCAGAUAAGUCAGUGGUGAAAGCCCAUCGCUCAACGAUGGAACGGCCAUUGAUACUGUUUGGCUUGAAUUAUUUGGAAGUAACUAGAAUAUGUAGUGUAGCGGUGAAAUGCUUAGAGAUUACAUGGAAUACCAAUUGCGAAGGCAGGUUACUACAAAUUGAUUGACGCUGAUGGACGAAAGCGUGGGUAGCGAACAGGAUUAGAUACCCUGGUAGUCCACGCCGUAAACGAUGGAUACUAGCUGUUGGGAGCAAUCUCAGUGGCUAAGCGAAAGUGAUAAGUAUCCCACCUGGGGAGUACGUUCGCAAGAAUGAAACUCAAAGGAAUUGACGGGGGCCCGCACAAGCGGUGGAGCAUGUGGUUUAAUUCGAUGAUACGCGAGGAACCUUACCAAGGCUUAAAUGUAGAUUGACCGGUUUGGAAACAGACUUUUCGCAAGACAAUUUACAAGGUGCUGCAUGGUUGUCGUCAGCUCGUGCCGUGAGGUGUCAGGUUAAGUCCUAUAACGAGCGCAACCCCUGUUGUUAGUUGCCAGCGAGUCAUGUCGGGAACUCUAGCAAGACUGCCAGUGUAAACUGUGAGGAAGGUGGGGAUGACGUCAAAUCAUCACGGCCCUUACGCCUUGGGCUACACACGUGCUACAAUGGCCGGUACAGAGAGAGCGC
rnacentral:rRNA from 1 species